AGGACGAACGCUGGCGGCGCGCUUAACACAUGCAAGUCGAGCGAGAACCAGUCCUUCGGGACUGGGGACAGCGGCGAACGGGUGAGUAACACGUGGGUAAUCGACCCUUGGUACUGGGAUAGCCCGGGGAAACCCGGAUUAAUACCGGAUGGCCCAGCAGCUCUUCGGGGCGGCUGGAAAGGGUAGCUUCGGCCUCCGACCAAGGACGAGCCCGCGGCGGAUUAGCUUGUUGGCGGGGUAACGCCCACCAAGGCGACGAUCCGUAGCUGGUCUGAGAGGACGAUCAGCCACACUGGGACUGAGACACGGCCCAGACUCCUACGGGAGGCAGCAGUGGGGAAUCUUGCGCAAUGGGCGAAAGCCUGACGCAGCGACGCCGCGUGGGGGAAGAAGGCUUUCGGGUGUAAACCCCUUUCAGGAAGGACGAAGCUACUCGGGUUAAUAGCCCAGAGGUGACGGUACUUCCAGAAGAAGCCCGGCUAACUACGUGCCAGCAGCCGC
rnacentral:rRNA from 1 species